CCUACGGGCGGCAGCAGUGGGGAAUAUUGGGCAAUGGGCGCAAGCCUGACCCAGCAAUGUCGCGUGAAGGAAGAAGGCUUUCUGGUUGUAAACUUCUUUGACAGGGGAAGAGCAGCAGACGGUACCCUGACACCAAGCCUCGCCUAACUACGUGCCACCAGUCGCGGGAAUACGGCGGGGGCAAGCGUUCUCCGGAUUUACUGGGGGUAAAGGUCGUUGAGCCGGGAAGAAAAGUCAGAUGUGAAAUCCGGUGGCUCAACCUCCGAAUUGCAUUUGAAACUGUUUUUCUUGAGUGCUGGUGAGGCAGACGGAAUUCCUUGUGUAGCGGUGAAAUGCGUAGAUAUAAGGAGGAACACCAGUGGCGAAGGCAGUCUGCUGGACAGCAACUGACGGUGAGGCGCGAAAGCGUGGGGAGCAAACAGGAUUAGAUACCCUUGUAGUC
rnacentral:rRNA from 1 species